rnacentral:lncRNA from 10 species
CCAGGAGACUGUGCUGCAGGGCACUGGUGCAAGGGAGGAGCCGCCAUCAAGGACCCCACCGACGGGGCACGAGGGCUCCUCUGCCCGCCUGGGCACUACUGCCUCAAGGGGGCGCCCAUCCCAUCCCGAUGCCCCCCUGGCACCUGGUCUGAGGAGGGGAAUGGAGCCCCCGAAGGAUGCCGGGACUGCGCUGGAGGAGAGCUCUGCUCUGGGAGCCACCCGCCCCUCCGGCCCACAGCCUGCCACCCAGGCAUUUCCUGCAUGGGGGGAACUGUCCCUGCCAGUCCCAUGGAGGGACUCUCUGGGAGAUUCUGCCGCCCUGGACACGUCUGUCCUUUGGGAAUGGCUGGCCCCACUCCAUGUCCUCCUGGCUCCUACACUUCCGGCGCCCAUACCAUGGAAUGUCACAUCUGUCCUGGUGGCCACUACUGUGUUCCAGGGCUGAGGCCACGGCUGUGUCCGAGAGGGUUCUACUGCCCUGCAGGGACAGGGCUGGAUUGGCAGCCCUGCUCCCCAGGCACCUAUGGCCCCACAGCCGGGCUAAGCAGCCUGCCAGGGUGCCAAGCCUGUGACGGGGGCAGAUUCUGCCCUGGAGCCAAUGCUACGGAGGCCAGCGGGCAGUGCUGGGAGGGCUGCUUCUGCUCCAGAGGGUCAACAAGGCCCAACCCGGAGGCCGGCACUGAAGGUACCACACCCUCCUGCAGAUACUGAGCCCCUCCCCCAUUUCCUGAGGCCCCAUUACCGAGAGAUGGGGGACAGGUUCAGGAACCCCACCCACUCUCUGGUCAACCCAGAGAGACUGUGGAGUCUGUUCUCUCGGAGACCCCUGGGGUUCCUCGCAUGCUCCCAGGCUUCCUUGCGUGGCAGGCAGGACACCGUGGCCUGGCAAUGAGCAGUGCUUUGGCUUUUGUCUCCUCCACCCACUGACCAUCCUGGGGGAGCCCCCAUGUUGCAUACAGGGUCUGGCCCAAAGCAGCUCACUUAGGGAUCAUGGUGUAGCGGUU